rnacentral:rRNA from 1 species
AGUGAACGCUGGCGGUAGGCCUAACACAUGCAAGUCGAACGGCAGCGCAGUAAGAGCUUGCUCUUACGGGUGGCGAGUGGCGGACGGGUGAGGAAUACAUCGGAAUCUACUUUUUCGCGGGGGAUAACGUAGGGAAACUUACGCUAAUACCGCAUACGACCUACGGGUGAAAGCAGGGGAUCUUCGGACCUUGCGCGAUUGAAUGAGCCGAUGUCGGAUUAGCUAGUUGGCGGGGUAAAGGCCCACCAAGGCGACGAUCCGUAGCUGGUCUGAGAGGAUGAUCAGCCACACUGGAACUGAGACACGGUCCAGACUCCUACGGGAGGCAGCAGUGGGGAAUAUUGGACAAUGGGCGCAAGCCUGAUCCAGCCAUACCGCGUGGGUGAAGAACGCCUUCGGGUUGUAAAGCCCUUUUGUUGGGAAAGAAAAGCAGCAGGUUAAUACCCCGCUGUUCUGACGGUACCCAAAGAAUAAGCACCGGCUAACUUCGUG